GCAAGUCGGACGAGGUGCGUGGCUUCGGCUUCGUUACCUAGUGGCGGACGGGUGAGUAACGCGUGGGAACCUGCCCUGGAGUGGGGAAUAACCACUGGAAACGGUGGCUAAUACCGCAUACGCCCUCUUUGGUGAAACUUGGGGGGGAAAGGCUUCGGCCGCUUUAGGAUGGGCCCGCGUCCGAUUAGCUAGUUGGUGAGGUAACGGCUUACCAAGGCGACGAUCGGUAGCUGGUCUGAGAGGAUGAUC
rnacentral:rRNA from 1 species